CCUACGGGAGGCAGCAGUGGGGAAUAUUGGGCAAUGGGCGCAAGCCUGACCCAGCAACGCCGCGUGAAGGAAGAAGGCUUUCGGGUUGUAAACUUCUUUUAUCAGGGACGAAGCAAGUGACGGUACCUGAUGAUUAAGCCACGGCUAACUACGUGCCAGCAGCCGCGGUAAUACGUAGGUGGCAAGCGUUAUCCGGAUUUACUGGGUGUAAAGGGCGUGUAGGCGGGAGUGCAAGUCAGAUGUGAAAACUAUGGGCUCAACCCAUAGCCUGCAUUUGAAACUGUACUUCUUGAGUGCUGGGGAGGCAAUCGGAAUUCCGUGUGUAGCGGUGAAAUGCGUAGAUAUACGGAGGAACACCAGUGGCGAAGGCGGAUUGCUGGACAGUAACUGACGCUGAGGCGCGAAAGCGUGGGGAGCAAACAGGAUUAGAUACCCGAGUAGUC
rnacentral:rRNA from 1 species